AGUUAAAUUCACGAUGGGCUCCUAAUCAGGAGCGACAGAGAUGGAGAAGCUGAAUCCAGUAGCCGGAGACCCCCUGACCAGGGGAUGCAGAUUUAGGUCAUUGGCAAAAAGAAACAGAGAUUUCGGGCAUCAACAAUAUUUCGCUUUGAUUGGGUCAAAUGCUGCCUUGAUGUUAAAGGCAGUCACUCUCACAUCAUCUGUUGAAUUCAGCUCCUUUGUCCAUGUAACAAAGUCAGGAGGUGAACAGCACUAGCAGAUGCCAAAGUGAGCAUAGUGUCUGCUAUGACUAGGACCAGACUGCCAUCAUCAUUUGACCGGGAACAGCAUAUAGAGUCAGAGAGACCAGGUGCAGUGCAAUCAUGUGAUCAAAAGGUAGGAACCUGGGGACAUGAGGCUGAAGAUUUAAUGUGAUCAACAUCACGUGACAUGAGUUGGCAAACCCAGCAGAUGGAAGGAUCUGUUUCUAGAGAUAGUAAAAACUGCAGAUCUGUUUCCAGUUCUUUCGUGAUGUUAUUUUUAACCUGAGGUUUUUUUUUGUGGACUGGCCUCCAUGUGGCAAUUUUUCCCCAUGAGCACAUGUAUUGGAAGCUGGAGUGGGUGACUUCUGUCUAUUAACAUUCCAUCUGGGCAUUACCUCUCCAUGCCUUCUCCUCAUGCCAAUACACCCUGCCCAAAAUAUUCUGAAGACAUGCUUAAAUAAAGUCAGUGUACAAUAAUACUUGCUUGUCAAACGCUGAAUUCAAUAACAACAGAAAACGGUAGAAGAUUAUGAAAAGAUUCAAGUUAAAUCGGAGAAAGACUUCACCAAAUCGGAAG